rnacentral:lncRNA from 1 species
CGGUUGUAAAUUGAUUUGUGUAGUUUAUGAUAUAAUGAAUAUUUUGAUCUGACAUGUAUUGUGUUGAUUUUAGAUACUUUGAGAUUGCAUGGAUUGCCAAUUGGAGUUCUGGAUUUGUGGCAUUGUAUUUGGUUCUAUCUUGCUUAAUAUUCUCUUUGGAAAUGAAUGUUAGUUAUAUUGGUGCAUCAUAACAUGAUUGUCUAUUAUGGAAAAAGUGCAACUAGAGUGCUAUACCUAAGCUGAAAUCACCUUUCCCUUUGUAAAAUGAUUGCUUGCAUUCACACAUUCUCGUUGAUGCAUAUAUGGACUAUCCAAUCUUGACCCAACAAUCUGUAUUUUGACUUUGUGAUUAAGAUUGGGCAAGGCAAACAUGUGAUUACAUGAAUAUGUGUUUAUCCUUAUUGUAGUGAAGUGAGGUCCCUCCGUUUCUUGUGAUCCUCUUAUAUUUUUGUGCUUGCAUUGAAAUAUUGAUAUCUCGAAAAAGGAAAUUGAUGCAGGGCUUGUGCUGAAGUUUAGGCUUGGUUAGCACAUGGUUACCACCAUGUUAAUCUAUUUGUACAUAUGUAUUGCUUUUUGCAUGGAUGUUCAAACAUCUAAAAUAUUGAAACAUCCUUUCUGUUUUUUGUGAUCCUUUUUUUGAGUUUGAAAUACAACAUGCUUAUCCUGAUACCCAAAAAAAUGAUGCAAGGUUUGUGUUGAAGUUUAGUCUUUAGUUAAAAAUAACCAUAAUAAGUCUAGAAAUUAAUUUCUAAUAAUUGUUUAGGUUGAACCAUGUUUAUUUAUUUCUCUAUAGAUGGAUAUUUCAUUGACAUUUCAAAAAUUAAUGCAUUAGAUUAGAUGCUUGUUGGUAGCUUGUCUCAGCUCUUAGAUAGAUUGGUCAUACUAGUAUAUAUGGUUUGAAAAUUAAUGCCAAUUGUGUUUGCAUUGAUAUAUUGAUACCUCUGAAAAAACAAAAAAUAAAAGGAUGUAUAGCUAAUGGCUUGUGCUGAAGUUUAUAAAAGGUUUGAGGGAAAAAUCUUUGUUUAUAUCUCAAAUGGCCUCUCUUUGAGGCUGUAGCAAUUUAUAUUCUAGCUGAACUAUGAACAACUUUACUAUUUAGGUAGGCUUUGUGGUUCUUGAUUUCGGUAUCUUAUGAAUCCUGGUUUUUUUCAAUAAUGAACGUUAGUCUGUUACUAGAGAUUUUUAUUUUAGAAUACAGAUGGAUGUUUUUAUUUUUUAUUUUGAAACUUGAUAUCCGGUCCAAGGACCGACUAAUUCGGAUGAACAAUCUCACCGUCCACUAGCGGGGACUCAAUUGAAGCCAGAGCAAAGCCCUAUAUGGACUGGACCACUUCCGAAAUUGUUAGCACCAGAAUCUUGAGAGGAGCACACUCUGAGAUCUUGAGUGAUAUAUUGUUUAUACCUUGCGAGUCUGUAGAAAUAUUUAUAGUUACUAUAUACUAUGUUGUAGUAUAUUGUAUUUUAGUAGUUGUGUAUCUGGAAGGCCUCCUAAGUGGGAAUGAUAGUAGAAGCUGGAUUACAAGUUUAAUGUUAGGAAUAAUGACUUGGAUGUGGAUACCACUCUUUUUAAUCCGAUUAUGGUUUUUGAUUAAUCGAGUAAGAAUGGUGAUAGGGGCACAGUUUGGGCUGGUAGAAAAGUUGCUUAGUCUUUUUAUUUUAUUUUAUGUUUUUCAGGACUUGAAAUUAGUUUUAUUUUCGGGAUGAGAACACUAAAUCAUUGUCGGAAUUGAAAUUUAUAAAAGCUUAUAUCAUCCUUGCAUAUUUCCCUACAUUUUAUCGAGUAGAUUUAUGUCAUGUCUUGGUAGAGAAACUGAGAAGAAGUAGAAUGUACAAUGUGUCAAUCACUCAAUAUAUAAUAACUUGGGAACGCCGAUGGUGGUGUUAUUUGUGUCCAGGACUGCUUUUGCUGGUUUUUGCCCUUAUCUGUCGGGAAGGUUUAAGUCUUUUGGUUUGGUUUUCUUGUUACUGGUGUCGUAGUAUCGGGUUUUGGUGUGUCUUGUCAUAUUGUAACAAGGUUUCUUUCUUUAAUGGUGGUGUUAUUUGCCCUUAUCUCUUAUCGUAUUGUAACAAGGUUUCUUUCUUUAGUUCUUAGUUCUUAUUGUGGUGUUAUUGUUUUUCUUAGUUUAAGUGAUUGUUUGGUUGAAGGAGUAUUGGGGAGGAAUUUUCUCUUUAUUUGUACUUCUUGGCAAGUAUUUGUGGUUAUGAAGUCUGUUAUAAGUACAAUUUCAUUUGCUUUUCUAAAUUAAGAUAUGAUAUGAUAGUUUAUUGUAUCUCAUCUCUCUUAUCUUAACCAUUAAACGAACUCCUAAUUAAGUCUUUGAUUUGAACUAAGUAGGUGAUUAACUUCAAAGUGAUUAAUCUAGUGCUGAAGGCCAAUUAACGAAUCAGCUACCGUAUAAAACCAGCCAGACUAAGCACUCUUUCAACCCUCAUUCAUUGCAAGACGACACACUAUAUAUGGAAAUAUUAAAGACAAAUUGAUGAAGAGCAAUGCUAGCAUCAGUCGCUGAAACACUCGCCUUCAAUCACUCACUCAAAUAUGCCAUGUCACUAUAUUCACUAAACCAUGUAAU